AUUGAACGCUGGCGGCAGGCCUAACACAUGCAAGUCGAACGGCAGCACAGAAGAGCUUGCUCUUUGGGUGGCGAGUGGCGGACGGGCGAGUAAUGUCUGGGAAACUGCCCGAUGGAGGGGGAUAACUACUGGAAUCGGUAGCUAAUACCGCAUAACGUCGCGAGACCAAAGCGGGGGACCUUCGGGCCUCACACCAUCCGAUGUGCCCAGAUGGGAUUAGCUAGUAGGUGGGGUAAUGGCUCACCUAGGCAACGAUCCCUAGCUGGUCGGAAAGGAUGACAGCCACACUGGAACUGAGACACGGUCCAGACUCCUACGGGAGGCAGCAGUGGGGAAUAUUGCACAAUGGGCGCAAGCCUGAUGCAGCCAUGCCGCGUGUAUGAAGAAGGCCUUCGGGUUGUAAAGUACUUUCAGCGGGGAGGAAGGCGGUGAGGUUAAUAACCUUGCUGAUUGACGUUACCCGCAGAAGAAGCACCGGCUAACUCCGUGCCAGCAGCCGCCGUAA
rnacentral:rRNA from 1 species